UACGUAGGGGGCGAGCGUUAUCCGGAAUUACUGGGCGUAAAGCGCACGCAGGCGGUUCGCCAAGUUUGGAGUGACAGUUGUCGGCUCAACCGACAAAGGACUUCAAAAACUGGUGAACUUGAGGACGAGAGAGGAACAUGGAACUCCAGGUGUAGUAGUGAAAUGCGUAGAUAUCUGGAAGAACACCAAUGGCGAAGGCAAUGUUCUGGCUCGUUUCUGACGCUCAGGUGGCGAAAGCCAGGGGAGCGAACGGG
rnacentral:rRNA from 1 species